rnacentral:rRNA from 1 species
UACGGAGAGUGCAAGCAUUAAUCGGAAUUAUUGGGCGUAAAGGGCGCGUAGGCGGAAUUAUAAGUCAGAUGUGAAAUUCUGAAGCUCAACUUCAGAGCUGCAUUUGAAACUGUAAAUCUAGAGGGUUGACGGAGAAAACGGAAUUCCACGUGUAGCGGUGAAAUGCGUAGAUAUGUGGAAGAACACCUGUGGCGAAAGCGGUUUUCUAGUUAAUACCUGACGCUGAGGCGCGAGAGCAAGGGGAGCAAAC